rnacentral:lncRNA from 1 species
GUGGAGGGUGUGCUUGUGCUGGACCUUAUGGCCACCAAUUGCUCACUAUCAACAAAUCUCAAUCUCUUGCUAUUAGAUCAGCAAUUCAAGAGGUAUAGUGUCAAAAAUUUAUAUCACAAAACAUUUUAUUCUAUAAAACAUUAAACAUUCUAUUGUCAUAAACUGGUUACAUAACAUGUCGACACAAAUGUCUGUUACAUACACUAUUCCAGAAAAAAACUUGUUUUAGAACCAAAUUUGGCUAAAUAAUGUUUAAACUGAUGUUGCUUAUUACUUGAACAGGGUUAUGUUGGUGUGAAACCUGGAUGGAGUAGAGUUAGUUUUCCGUAUUACAUGGAGGAGGAGGAAUUUGAGUUCAUUUUAACAGCGAUAGAGUUUGUAGCAAACUAUGGCCAACGCUUCCUUCCCUUGUAUAGCUACAAUCUGAGAAACGGAAGUUGGAGAAUGAAGAAAGAGAAACUUCAGGCUCUGAUAAACCAAAAUAACUGCAACUUUCAGAAAACUCUAAAGGAAGCAAAUGAUUUGAAAGCAGUCAAAGCAGGUGUUGGAACCAAACAAUUUCGUGUGUUAAGAAAAUCAUACCUAGAUAUAUCAAAAUGUAUUGCUGGUCUUCUCCCCAACUUCC